UUUUGAAAAGCUUGCUUUUCAAAACUUAGCGGCGGACGGGUGAGUAACACGUGGGCAACCUGCCCUUGAGACGGGGAUAACUCCGGGAAACCGGAGCUAAUACCGGAUAACACAUAUCUUCGCAUGAGGAUAUGUUAGAAGGUGGCUUUUAGCUACCACUCAAGGAUGGGCCCGCGGCGCAUUAGCUAGUUGGUGAGGUAACGGCUCACCAAGGCGACGAUGCGUAGCCGACCUGAGAGGGUGAUCGGCCACACUGGGACUGAGACACGGCCCAGACUCCUACGGGAGGCAGCAGUAGGGAAUCUUCCGCAAUGGACGAAAGUCUGACGGAGCAACGCCGCGUGAGUGAUGAAGGUUUUCGGAUCGUAAAGCUCUGUUGUUAGGGAAGAACAAGUACCUGUUAAAUAAGCAGGUACCUUGACGGUACCUAACCAGAAAGCCACGGCUAACUACGUGCCAGCAGCCGCGGUAAUACGUAGGUGGCAAGCGUUGUCCGGAAUUAUUGGGCGUAAAGCGCGCGCAGGCGGUUCCUUAAGUCUGAUGUGAAAGCCCACGGCUCAACCGUGGAGGGUCAUUGGAAACUGGGGAACUUGAGUGCAGAAGAGGAGAGCGGAAUUCCACGUGUAGCGGUGAAAUGCGUAGAGAUGUGGAGGAACACCAGUGGCGAAGGCGGCUCUCUGGUCUGUAACUGACGCUGAGGCGCGAAAGCGUGGGGAGCGAAC
rnacentral:rRNA from 2 species